AUACGUAGGGUGCGAGCGUUGUCCGGAAUUACUGGGCGUAAAGAGCUCGUAGGUGGUUUGUCGCGUCGUCUGUGAAAUUCCGGGGCUUAACUCCGGGCGUGCAGGCGAUACGGGCAUAACUUGAGUACUGUAGGGGAGACUGGAAUUCCUGGUGUAGCGGUGAAAUGCGCAGAUAUCAGGAGGAACACCGGUGGCGAAGGCGGGUCUCUGGGCAGUAACUGACGCUGAGGAGCGAAAGCAUGGGUAGCGAACAGGAUUAGAUACCCUGGUAGUCCAUGCCGUAAACGGUGGGCGCUAGGUGUAGGGGUCUCCCACGACUUCUGUGCCGUAGCUAACGCAUUAAGCGCCCCGCCUGGGGAGUACGGCCGCAAGGCUAAAACUCAAAUGAAUUGACGGGG
rnacentral:rRNA from 1 species